rnacentral:tRNA from 2 species
GCAGUCGUGGCCGAGUAGUUAAGGCGGUGGACUAGAAAUCCAUUGGGGUUUCCCCGCACAGGUUCGAAUCCUGUCGACUGCG